UCCACAUGAUCGAUGUGAUUGUGGGAAAGAUUCUAUCGGCGUGGGAUGGGGUCGCGUCCUAUCAGCUUGUUGGUGAGGUAACGGCUCACCAAGGCUUCGACGGGUAGCCGGCCUGAGAGGGCGACCGGCCACAUUGGGACUGAGAUACGGCCCAGACUCCUACGGGAGGCAGCAGUGGGGAAUAUUGCACAAUGGGCGCAAGCCUGAUGCAGCGACGCCGCGUGAGGGAUGGAGGCCUUCGGGUUGUAAACCUCUUUUGUUUGGGACAAGCCUUCGG
rnacentral:rRNA from 1 species